GGAUAGCUCAGUUGUUGGAGAGUGAGACUUUUACUCUCAAGGUCAUGUGUUCAAGCCCCAAGUUUGGCA